CCUACGGGUGGCAGCAGUGGGGAAUAUUGGGCAAUGGGCGCAAGCCUGACCCAGCAACGCCGCGUGAGGGAAGAAGGCUUUCGGGUUGUAAACUUCUUUUCUCAGGGACGAAGCAAGUGACGGUACCUGAGGAAUAAGCCACGGCUAACUACGUCCCAGCAGCCGCGGUACUACGUAGGUGGCAAGCGUUAUCCGGAUUUACUGGGUGGAAAGGGCGUGUAGGCGGGACCGCAAGUCAGAUGUGAACACCAUGGGCUCAACCUAUGAGCUGCAUUUGAAACUGUAGUGCUUGAGUGCAGGAGAGGCAGGAGGAAUGCCUAGUGUAGCGGUGAAAUGCGUAGAUAUUAGGAGGAACACCAGUGGCGAAGGCGGUCUACUGGACAGCAACUGACGCUGAGGCGCGAAAGCGUGGGGAGCAAACAGGAUUAGAUACCCCUGUAGUC
rnacentral:rRNA from 1 species